AUUGAACGCUGGCGGCAGGCCUAACACAUGCAAGUCGAGCGGAUGAAGGGAGCCUGCUCCUGGAUUCAGCGGCGGACGGGUGAGUAAUGCCUAGGAAUCUGCCUGGUAGUGGGGGAUAACGUCCGGAAACGGGCGCUAAUACCGCAUACGUCCUGAGGGAGAAAGUGGGGGAUCUUCGGACCUCACGCUAUCAGAUGAGCCUAGGUCGGAUUAGCUAGUUGGUGGGGUAAAGGCCUACCAAGGCGACGAUCCGUAACUGGUCUGAGAGGAUGAUCAGUCACACUGGAACUGAGACACGGUCCAGACUCCUACGGGAGGCAGCAGUGGGGAAUAUUGGACAAAGGGCGAAAGCCUGAUCCAGCCAUGCCGCGUGUGUGAAGAAGGUCUUCGGAUUGUAAAGCACUUUAAGUUGGGAGGAAGGGCAGUAAGUUAAUACCUUGCUGUUUUGACGUUACCAACAGAAUAAGCACCGGCUAACUUCGUG
rnacentral:rRNA from 1 species